rnacentral:tRNA from 1 species
GGGGACAUAGUAUAGUCUGGCCAUUACACCUCUGUUGCAUGGAGGUAGCGAGAGUUCGAGUCUCUCUGUCUCCA